rnacentral:rRNA from 1 species
CCCUUAGAGUUUGAUCCUGGCUCAGAACGAACGCUGGCGGCGUGGAUAAGACAUGCAAGUCGAACGAGAGAAUUGCUAGCUUGCUAAUAAUUCUCUAGUGGCGCACGGGUGAGUAACACGUGAGUAACCUGCCCCCAAGAGUGGGAUAGCCCCGGGAAACUGGGAUUAAUACCGCAUAAAAUCGCAAGAUUAAAGCAGCAAUGCGCUUGGGGAUGGGCUCGCGUCCUAUUAGUUAGUUGGUGAGGUAACGGCUCACCAAGGCGAUGACGGGUAGCCGGUCUGAGAGGAUGUCCGGCCACACUGGAACUGAGACACGGUCCAGACACCUACGGGUGGCAGCAGUCGAGAAUCAUUCACAAUGGGGGAAACCCUGAUGGUGCGACGCCGCGUGGGGGAAUGAAGGUCUUCGGAUUGUAAACCCCUGUCAUGGGGAGCAAAUAAAAA